AGUGGCUGGAAAGCAGCUUUUCCCUGGUUGCAGAGGACGGUCCCUUCCCAGAGCAUCGCUUGGGGGGUUUCCUCAGCUGGUUUUGGUAGGAACAGGCUGGAGUCCAGGUCGUGUGCCAGAAGAUCCAGUGUUGGAUGCACCACCUGCCCCUUCUGCAUGGGGCGGAAUGUUUAACAGUUGAGCUGCGCCUGGAAAAAGACGCUGCUCGACAUCCAUUAACACGUGUAAAGCGGAGGAGACGACAUGUUCAUCUGGAUAUUUCACAUGUCCGUGGAGAUGAGCAUCAAAUGGGGAAAUCUGGGCUUCGUCGGGUGAAGACAACAGGAGGCGGACGCAUCUCGGCUGCAUCCAGGGCUUGAUCUGGAAGCCUGGACCACCGUGGUGACGCAUCCCCGGCCAUCACCGGGCUGGUGAUGAACAUCUCCGCGGGCUGAUGAUGAAGAUCUCCCCGGGCAUAUGGAUCCCAUUUACCAGCAGCGCUGAGAACAUCCAGGUCAGGCCGUCUGUGCCGGGGGGCGUCUGUCCGUCCAUCUGUUUUCACACGGCCGGCGGAUGACGGAACCCUCCAGACCCGCCGCGUCGUAAAUCUCCGCGAUGCGCUCGGGCCGCUUUUCCCAUCCGUCAUAAAAAAAAGAGAGAGAAAAAUCAAAUCCAUGCCUGUCAAAAUACGCGGCGGCCAGCUCGCCUUCUCCCGCGGCCGCAGGAAUACAAAGCCCCAUCUCAUUGCCGUAAUUUAUGGCCUCCCGGGGAGAUUUGGGUGAUUAGGGCUUGGCCCACCAACACGCAGAAAAACAGUAGGAACUCCAAUAACUCCGAAUGGAAAUCUUGGGUCAAAUUUAUCAAACAAAUCAGAGAGAAAUCUAUUUCUGUUUGGAGAAGGAGGAGAUAUAUUACAUGUUUAGUAGACGGGGUACAGCUCUGGAACAUUUGGCUGUUCGGUAUUUGUGAGUUUUGGAAUUUCUAGCUUAAAUAGUAUCACCAGAGGACAUGUGAUGUAUUAGACAUGAGCACAUUUUUAGCCAAAUAAAAUAUACAACUGCAAGCAAA